rnacentral:lncRNA from 1 species
GAAUUCAGCUGAAUUAUUUGAUGAUGAAGAUAAUACUGACGAUAUUAAAAAUAAUACAAAAGGAGAAACUGAUAAAGAAGAUGAAGUGCUAGACUGCUCUGUGAUUUCAAGACCUGAAAAAAAUUCACUGGAUGGUUUAAUAACUUGCCUACAAGACAUCAAUAAGCGAAAACGAACCUCAUUUGGUUUGGAUGGUUCGGGGAACCACAAAGAAAUCUUGCCAAGUGUGAAAAAAAGAGGCAUUACACAAGAGGAUCAGACCUCAAACUUGAAAUGCAGAGAUGGAUUGCCUACUCAGGAAGAUGCUGAACAGCCAAGCAAGAGCAAAAAUUCCAGUCUAACGUGGAUUUGUGAAG